rnacentral:lncRNA from 1 species
UCUGCUCUUGUCAGACAAUUAAGGGGUCUUUGAAUACUUCAGCUCUAAUAAUUUCCUUCCUAACAUACAUAUUGCAGUGCUUAUCUAAUUUUAAAUAUCCUUUUGUUUCAACACCUAAUUUUCUAUUUUGAUCUAUCUGUAUGUUUACAAUAUAUUUUGCUCUGUGUUCAUUCUUUGAUUUCAGAACUUCAAUCUUUCUGAAGCGUGUUUUCAGUUUCGUUUGAGUUUCUUUAGUGGAAUUCUGCUGGUGGUGUUUUGUUUUUUGUCUCUAAAUAUGUUAUUUAGCCAUAGGUUGAUGAAUGUUUUUCUUGGUUGAGAAUUUCAGAAUGGCAUUAUUAUUCUUAACAAAUAAUAUUGUUUAUUUUACCUUUCAUGCUUUCAGAUUUCAAUAUGAUUAAAGGAGUGAGGACACAGCGAAAGUGAGACAAGGAAAAGAGAACAAAAUAAAACAGGAAAGAUAGAAAAGCCAAUACCACACGUGUUAAGAGUAACAAGCUCCCGUGCUGCUAGAGAAAGUCCUCAGCUAGAAACUGGUGCAAAUUCUGGAGAUGAGACCUUGUAGAGUGUUAAGAAUGGUUUUCUUCCCAGCAGCUACAGAUGAUCAAGAAGGACUGCAGAAAGGAGGAAACAGAAACAAACAGCACACCUCUUGGUUUAUUUGUAUUCAUUUCAUCAGUUUCAAGGAAAAUAUGUUGGGAGUUCCUCGCAUAGAGAAUGUCACAAAGACAUGUUUUCAAUAGUAGUGCUAUCCCUAGGGCAGAGAAGACCCAGAGAAAGCCCAAGUGGCUGCUGGAACACAGUCAGACACCGUGCCACCUGUCCACACUCCUUGGCUCUGCCAUCAUGCUGAAGAUCGCUUUAAAGGACUGGCUUCCCUCCCCCCAAAAUGAAUAGAGCACAGACUGAGAAACUGAAUGUGGGAGACAGCAGUGGAUUAUGCUGUUCUCAGGGGUCACCUCAGGUUUGGAAGCAUUCUUUCAAAUUAACCCAUCUCAGGCCAUCUGCAGAGAAGAAAGGUGGUACCUAACUUUUUUCUUGUCAGCAUUUGGUAGGGGUGUUUUAUUGACCAAAUAUGUUCCCACAACCUAGUUUUUUGUGAGUAACUAAAUAUAGUAGAGUUUUAAAUUUUAUCAUCAAAAUCUAUAGACAAUUUUUGAUGAAAAUAGACUCCAUCUCUAUGUCCUGCUUUUCUUCUUCUUAUUAAUUACAUUGCUGUAUAAAAGAACAAGACUUCAGAAUCAAGAAUAUCUUGUCUCUUGGCAUUGAAUUUAUACAAGGUGCUCUUUCUUUAAUGCUGUCUCAAAGGACAUAUUUUUACUCAUUAAAAAGGAAGAUCGGAAUCUAGUUGUAUGCGCUGCUCCAACAUAUUAAUAAUUAAAAUUAGGAGGUAAAUGUGGUCAAAACUAUAGAAAGACUGAGAUG